GAGUUUGAUUAUGGCUCAGGAUGAACGCUGGCGGCGUGCCUAACACAUGCAAGUCGAACGGGGAAUAUAUGUGAAGUUUUCGGAUGGAAUAUAUAUUUCUAGUGGCGGACGGGUGAGUAACACGUAAGUAAUCAACCUAUGACACACGAAUAACUAAGAGAAAUCUUAGCUAAUACGAGAUAAGGUAUAUAAAUCGGAAGAUAUAUAUACGAAAGCUGAGGCGGUUGUAGACGAGCUUGCGUCUGAUUAGCUAGUUGGUGGGGUAAGAGCCUACCAAGGCAACGAUCAGUAGCCGACCUGAGAGGGUGAACGGCCACAUUGGGACUGAGACACGGCCCAAACUCCUACGGGAGGCAGCAGUGGGGGAUAUUGCACAAUGGGGGGAACCCUGAUGCAGCAAUGCCGCGUGAGCGAAGAAGGCUUUCGAGUCGUAAAGCUCUGUCGUAUGGGAAGAAAAAAAUGACA
rnacentral:rRNA from 1 species